rnacentral:RNase_P_RNA from 1 species
UGAGGCAGACGGGCGGCCGCGUGCCGAGAGGCAUGAGGAAAGUCCGAGCACCGCAGGGCAGGGUGCCAGCUAACGGCUGGUGGAGGCGACUCCAAGGCAAGUGCAACAGAGAGAUACCGCCGAGCAAUCGGCAAGGGUGGAAAGGUGCGGUAAGAGCGCACCGGCGGCCUGGCGACUGGUCCGUCCUGUAAACCCCACCUGGUGCAAGAUAACCGGGGGCAUAUGAGCGGCCCGCUCCGUCCCCGACCAUCGCUACAGCGGCCUGGCGACCGGCCGCGCAGAUAGAUGGCCGUCCAAGACAGAACUCGGCUUACAGUCUGCGCUCAUCCC